rnacentral:lncRNA from 1 species
UCUUCCUCCCUCAUGACCUCGCUGAAGGUCUCUAUGAUGGUGGCCUCAAGUGAGACAAAUAAGAUGUCCAGGCUGCACAAUUUAAGGGAGUGCUCAGUCACUCACACAAUCCUAAGAGCAUGCACCUCCUUAAAUUGUGCUCCCUAGGCUCUGCACUCUAGUCUUCACCUACUAGGGAUUUCAUUCCCUCAAUUCCCUGCCCUGAGGGCAACCAUUUCCUUUCUCCCAGGAGUUUAGAAACAGAUUAGAUUAAUUAACAGUAGAGUUCAGGCAACUUCCCUCACUGGGAUGAAUAUAAAAAUACAGGUUCCUGAGCUCCACCUCAGACUUUUAAAAGUACAAUUGACACCUGAACAACACAACAGGGGCCAUGGAGUACACUCAUGAGUAUAUUUUUUCCUGUUAAUCAGUACCACAGAUACUAUAAGAUCCAUGGUUGUAGCUGAAUCUACAGAGGUGGAGUCAAAGAUAUGGAGGGACGAUUGUAAAGUUAUACACAGAUGUUCAACUCUUUGCGGGUCAGCUCCCCUAACCCCUACAUUGUUCAAGGGUCAACUGAUCACCACCCUGGUUACAUAUUAGCUUCACUGGAAGCCUAGACUCCACUUCCAGGAAUUUUGGUUCAAUUGAUCUGGGGUAAGGGCAAUAGGUAAAUGAAAAAGCUUUCCAGGUGAUUUUUAUAGAUGAUUAGGGUCAAGUCAAUAAAACAGAUCAGGGAAUCUGCUUCCAGGUGAUUCUUGCACACACUAUUUAAAAAUCCACUGGCUUCCCGUUAAACUCUCUAGCUCUGUAGUCAGACUCCUUACCUACAUGUAUAGUGCCUACACUUAUAAUAAUUUACAUAUAUAGCUUAUAUAUAUAGUAUAUGUACUAUAUAUAGUUUACACAUGCACAUGCAUAUAUGUCACAGUCCCUGAUUUCCAGCUGUAUGAACUUCAGCUAGUUACUUAACAUCCCUGUGUAUCAGGAGACAAUAAACAGCAUCUUAUAAACUAAGUAUAGUAUGAGGAUUCAAUGGAACAUACAUGUAAAUUGUUUAACAGAGGCCCAGUACAUAGUAAAUGUUUAAUAAACAUCAAGUAUUAUAACUACACAUAAGAGUGAAACUUCAAUAAAGAUUGAAAUCAUUUUAGAAUUUUAAUAUAUUUAUUAUUUUUAAAAAUGGUCCAACUUUGCUCCUUAAAUGAAGCAAAAUGUCUUACUGGUGUUUGUUUCUUCAGCUUUUGCACAGUGGCUGGGAUACAUCAGGGGUCCAACAAAUGUUUCCCAAAUGUGUGAAUGAAUGAAUUGCUGGGAAUUUGUAUUUGCCUUCACUCUCAAACUGAUCUUGCCCAUGUCUCAAGAUUGUAAAAACCUCACUGACCAUGGGGCCAUUCAUUCUGUCUCCAAAUGCUGCCAACCUGCCCAUGGCUCUAAUCAAGAGCAGACCUGAUUUAUGCUGCCUGUGGACUGAGCCAGGGAGGUGGAAUCCUCCACCACUGAUUUGUUUAUUGCUGAGUCCCUGAAAAUCGAAUAGGGAAGGAGAGGGAGGUAUGAAGAAUGACUUAAGAACUACUCCCCAUCACAUUUGUUAUGGGGUCCUUUCACUAUGGCAGAAUAUAGCUGUUUGUUGCUGCUAAUAUGAAAAUUCUAAAACUGUUCCAAAAAGAGACAGCAAGUCCCAUGCUUGUGUCUUUACUUGACUGCCACCAGAGUGGUGACAGUGAUAGAGGAGCAAGCAGCCUGGAUUUCAGGGGCUUAAUUAAUAAACUGUUAUGGGCUACGAUAUAACUCUGUAAUACUCCUUGAUGAAUGGCUAUAGUAUAAAGCAAAAUGUGUUUCAUCUAUGUAGUGGAUAUUGACUAAAAGGUUUGUUUUAAAAUAUUUAGGCUAAUUUGGUUCUUUGUUUUAAGUAUUCAUAGCCAUAGAUUAAUUGAAAACCCAACAGCACAAAAAGAUUGUAUUAACUUGAUCGCCCUCUACUGGCCAUAAUAUGAAGUACCACCUGUUUUUGACCAGGUCCGAUAAAAACUAUAGCUAUUUUUAGAAAGGACUGGGCUUUGAAAUUACAAAAUACUUUCUAUAGAUCAACUAUAAGUAUAGUAGAGAGACAUAUCUAAACUAAACCCCAAGCUGUCUGCCUUAGUUUUGAAUAUCCUGGUUCCUGAAUGGAGAUCAUUUGAUUUAAUAUAGUUGGUGAUUUAUGAAGAAACAUGGCCAGGAGCCAGAAGACAGAAUUCAGACAGACCUGUCUUAUCAUCUGUGAAAGGAACGCAGGUGAAAGGCAGACCCAAGGCUCCUUUUCACUCUUUCCUACCGCUGUGGUACAGAGACUACAUACAUCCCAGAUUAGGAGCCCUGUGCCCUGAGGUCUAGUCCUGAUUCUAACACUUAACUCUUUCUUUAAAAUAAACCAAAGGAUAGAAUGGAGUAUCAUAGAGUGCCUCUGAAUUCUAAUGUUAUUUAUGGCCUAAGUCAUACUUAAGCCUGAGUACAUACAAAUAACAGAAAGAAAUUUCCAGAAGGAUAAUUCCAUUUAAAACCCUUUCAGGUUUCUUUUCCUAUGAAAAUUCUCUAGGAAACACAGGGUUAAUCCCUUAUACAACCACUUAUACUCAUAACGGAACUAUUGUCUCCACAUGAACAGUUUGAAUAAACGCUAACAUUUUUAUUUUCCCAGAACAUAGGGGAGAAAAAUUCCAACCCCAGACUCUAGAUGCAGGUUUCUAUAUUUUGAAAACAUGAAGUGAUGAGGCCCUCCAAGUUUAAGGAAGAACAGCUGCCUCUGAGUACCUUCACAGAAACAUUAAAAAAAAAAAAAAUUCUGAACUACUUCCCUCUACAAAAUAGACCUAUAAAAUGAUCGGCAACCACUCACUUCCAUCAGUUUGUGCCAAACGCUCUGGUUCCUCGUCAUAGUGCAAAGGACACAUUAGCUCAGACCAGGUGAACACAUUGUAAUCCUGCAGUCUUGAAACAAAUGCUGAGAAGAUUUAAGAAAAUCAGAGCAAACCAAUGUUGGAAGAACAUCUUUUUCUAUCACAAGGGAAACAGAAAAUACCACAUAAAUAAACAUAAAUCAUUGACCUAGCAGUGAUCUGGCCUAGUGAAAAUUCACCAAGUUAUAACAAUUAAAAGCAAAAAUCAUAAUCUCCUUGCAUUUAAUUAGGGAUUUAUUCUACCAGGCACUUGCAUUGCACACUUUUUAAAACGACACUGGGAAGGGGUUGAUAGGAGCAUUAUUAGGCCCAUUUUGUAGAUGAACCUGAAGAGAUUAUGUACCCUGCCUACAAAGAUCAAAUCAUACAGAUAAUAAGUACUAUUUUCAGAUAUUUAAAACCACGCUGUAAUGAUUUUUUUCUAGAAAAACAUGCAAAUGAUUCUAAGGUUGUGAUGGUUUUAUCUACGUAUGUAUAUGUAUGUAUCUUCUUUUCCAAGGAUAGAAGAAGAUAAAUGAAUUAUGAAUUACUGUGGGGAAACCAGAACAACAGGGCUGGGAGAAGAAAUCUUUGCGUUUGAUUCUGCACUGACUUCUUCAAAACAAGAUCUCUAUUCAGUGUGAAGAUCACCCGGAAUGUUGAUUGAGCGCCUAAAAGGCACAGCCUAUGGUGUGAGGAAUAUCACAGCGUCCUUCUCCAGUUCAUUGUCUAGUUGGGGAACAAGCUACUCAGAUUAAUGCAUAUUAAACUUUGUUCUCUAUGAUGCCCAUGGACAAAAUAUCAGCUUUUAGUUCCCAGGGGUUCAAAAAUAACAGAGUAGAAACUUAAUGUAGGCCACAUCCAAUCCCAUGAGCAUGUUCUCAAAAAAAACCCUAUCAGCUCUAGUGAAAUAUAUGUCCCAUAUCCUAUCAUUCUCUCCAUCUUUAUUAUUACCAUUCUAGAAUAAUGGUCUAAAAGAUGGGAAUAGGAUGACAGGAGUAUGUUUCAUGACUUUCAGGUGGCCAAUUUCAGAGAUGGGAGCAUCAUAGAAGUAUCUUAUUUCUGACUAUUAAAAAAUUUGAUACCCUGUGGUCUCUGAAGUCUGGAGGCCACAUGCCUCCUUUGCUACCAUGCUCACAAAAGUUUUAUCUUUACCAAGCUUAUAAAGGAGUUCAUACAAUAUAACUAUAACUCAAUCUCAUCUAAAUGACUAGUCUUCAAAUACAGAGCUUAAAAAUACACAAGAUUAGACACCAGUAUGAGACCAGACAGAAAAAUUGAGAGAUCAGCAUGGUCUCUGUAUAUGAAUGUGAUAAAAUCUCUACAGUUAUGCUUUUCAACUGGAUGUGGGCAGUUUCUCUCCUCUGAGUCCCCACAACCUUUCUUGUAUCUCUCUGAUAAUAUUUUUGCAUUUGCUUUCUCUGCUUAUUGAACUGUAAGCUCCUGUGGGUAUGGAGCAUGCAUGAUCAUGUGUCUUACUCAUCUCAGGCAGCUCGAAAGAAUGAGCCCGAUUGAGUCUGACAGACCUGUCCCAGAAAACUGGCUCUACUAACUGGGAGACUUUCAGCCUUUAAUUAACCUCUAUGUGCCUAAUUCCAACAGCAAAACAAUUAUUAUAAAGAUCAAAUGAGAUAGUACAUGUAAAUUGCUUAGCCAAUGCCUUGUCCCUAGUGCCCUUGCAAUAAAUGAUAGCCCUCUGUGUUUUUUCCUUCUUUCUUUUGCCACACGCAUGGCAUGUGGGAAUUUCUGGGUUGGGGAUCUAACCCAUACCACAACAGUGACCCUAGCCACAGCAACAACAACACCACAAGAUAAGACAACCAGAAGAGCUAAGCUGAAAUCUAGCUUCAGCCGGAUGCUAUGCAGAGCUCUGGAGCAUAAAUUGUACCAGAGCUGGAUCCACCUUGGAAUAGAUCCAGCUCUUUGUACCCUCCCCCCAAUCCAAGCCCUCCAUGUCAAUCAGUCAUUGGCUAAAGCCUGCCCCAUGGAGGGUUGGGGAGGAAGACAUGCCCUCCAUGGCCAGGCAGCUCCCAUUUGGUUGAGGACAAUUCUCUGCAGAAAAGGGCAGCUGUAAGCUGCUGACAGCCAAUAUUCACAACAACCAUGUCAGGCAAAUCUGGGCAGGGCACCAACAGCACCCUUUACUACACUAUUAUUAUUGUAUUUAUAUUAUCUCAUGUCUACAUCUGAGUUUUGAUAUGACAGGGACACAAUAAAUAGUUAUUAGAGUGAAUUAAAGUAUCCAAAUUAUGGAGAGUAUGCAAAACCAGCAUGAACAGUUCAAGUCUCACCCACAGGUCUAAAAGCUUUGGAGGCAGCUUUCCCAUUUCCCUCCUUCACUGGCCCUCAUAAUUACAAAGACUAUACAAGAUUGUAGCAUGUCCCAAAAUUCCUUGCCAUACUGAUUAUGUCUGAAACUGACUUAACUAUGAAUUUCCUUGCUUCCCUUGUUACAGAGAUUUUCUCAUGUUAAUUAUACCUACGCUUACAUCCAAAUAUUUCAUUGUGAUGCAGAUUAUACUUGUAAGUGCAUGAAUUAUUCUUUGAGGGCAAAAGAAAUGAAUAAUGUUUUACCACACACGGUGACAUGUUUCUAAGCACGUAAGUGACAGAUGCACUCUUAAAUGAUGUACUUCUUCUCCUCGAAAUUCAAGGACCCAGAUUUAAAGAGAUAGAAGAUAUAAAGGUGUCUCCCUCUGAAUCUACUGAUGUCAAGCUUGGACUUCCAUCUCUAUCAGCAAAUUCAUGAAUACGUAAUGUGUUUGGGUCCCAGUAUCUGCUCAGAUUAGAUUGUAUCAGCAGCCUUACACUCUGAAACACUGUUAAAACAAAUUUCCAAGUACCCAAGGAGAGGAGGGGAGGGAAGAGCUGGGCUCUUAGGAGUGGGAGGGAAGCAUUUUGUAAACUCUUAAGGGGUCUUAUAAAAAUUAACCAUUAGUAGUAAUAUUAAUUCUUCUACCUUCAACCUUAUGUUCAAUACUCUCCAAAUCCCCUUACCCCAUAUCUCCUGAAUUAAUCAACCCCAUCCAGAGAAUUUGCUUCUGUUCCAAUUACUACAGUAAAACAAAAAAACCUGAGUGACCAGCACUUUCCUUAUAUUUUCAUCUUAUAUUCAAU